UUAUUUAUGCAGUGGCAGUAUCGUAGCCAAUGAGGUUUAUCCGAGGUGCGAUUAUUGCUAAUUGAAAUCCUUUCUAAUAGGACUUGAGUUGACCUACAACAAAAGAUAUAAAUAGAUCAAAAUUGUUAAAAUAAAUCAAAACAU